CUGCUGCUCAGCCUCAGGCUGCCUACAUGCCCCCAAUGACCCAGGCGGGCAUGCAUCCUGGUCCUCAGGCCCAAGGCAUGCCACGUGCUGGCUAUGCAGGCAUGCCACCUAUGUUGACUGGCAUCCCACCAAUGAUUCCUGGGAUGCCACCAGUAAUGCCAGGCAUGCUACCUGGCAUGAUGCCAAUGAGAGGAAUGAUGCCCCCAGGUCCAGCAAUGCCUCCGAUGAUGCCAGGCAUGCCACCAGGUC